UUUGCAUAUUAACUGCAUGCUUCAGUGCUCUGGAGGUCUUUAUAGAUCUGUGAGUUUAUGAUUUUAUGACAGACAGCUCUCCUUCAUGAUAACAGAUCCAAAAGCAAACAUGACUUUAAUAGCCAUCAUUAUUUGGACACUCACAACCUGCACCUGGAGUUCUGUGGGACAAACUCUGACUCAAUCUGAAGCUCAAACACUGCAGCCUGAUCAGACCGUCUCUAUUCACUGUAAUCAUAAACCAGCAGUAUACUGUGUUAAAAAAAACACCACCCUGUAUUGUAUGUCCUGGUACCAUCAGAUUCCUGGAGAAGUUCCUAAACUCCUGAUCCAUCACACAUCAGAGAGAGCUUCAGGUGUUUCUUCUAGAUUCAGUGGCAGUGAAAGUGGAAACCACAUGGAUUUUACUCUGACGAUCAGUGGAGUCCAGCCUGAAGAUUCAGGAGUUUAUUACUGUCAGAGUCAACAUGGAAUACAAGGAGACUCGGAGAAGCUAUACUGGGUGUUCACACUGUGUAAAAGCCUCAUACAAAAACCUCCUUGGUUGAGACUUUUGCAGAUGUUGAUGUUGAAGAUCAUUGUGCACGUCACUAACAAACACACAGAUACACAGGAGGUUGAUGAACUGUUGAUGUUCAUUGUCACACACUCAUUAACAUAUUCUAUAUAUUUAAAUUUAUGCAAAAUAAUGUCUCAAACAUGAAAUACAAAUUAUGAUAACAA